GAACAAAACUCCGUGUUGGACAAAGGAAAGGCAUCCGGCCAUUGAAACAUUCUGCUAGCUCUGUUCGGUUGCCCAGACACCACCCUUCAAGGGAUUAUGGGGUCGUUAAAAGAUAGUGAUGAUAAUUCACUCAAC